rnacentral:tRNA from 1 species
GCGCCCAUAGCUCAAUUGGAUAGAGCACCAGGCUUCGAACCUGGGGGUUAGGGGUUCGAGUCCCUUUGGGCGCGCCA